rnacentral:rRNA from 1 species
GAUGAACGCUGGCGGCGUGCCUAAUACAUGCAAGUCGAGCGAACAGACGAGGAGCUUGCUCCUCUGACGUUAGCGGCGGACGGGUGAGUAACACGUGGAUAACCUACCAAUAAGACUGGGAUAACUUCGGGAAACCGGAGCUAAUACCGGAUAACAUGUUGAACCGCAUGGUUCAACAGUGAAAGACGGUCUUGCUGUCACUUAUAGAUGGAUCCGCGCCGCAUUAGCUAGUUGGUAAGGUAACGGCUUACCAAGGCAACGAUGCGUAGCCGACCUGAGAGGGUGAUCGGCCACACUGGAACUGAGACACGGUCCAGACUCCUACGGGAGGCAGCAGUAGGGAAUCUUCCGCAAUGGGCGAAAGCCUGACGGAGCAACGCCGCGUGAGUGAAGAAGGUCUUCGGAUCGUAAAACUCUGUUAUUAGGGAAGAACAAAUGUGUAAGUAACUAUGCACGUCUUGACGGUACCUAAUCAGAAAGCCACGGCUAACUACGUG